rnacentral:rRNA from 1 species
UACAGAGGUCUCAAGCGUUGUUCGGAUUCAUUGGGCGUAAAGGGUGCGCAGGUGGCGCGGCAAGUCGGAUGUGAAAUCCCGGGGCUCAACCUUGGAACUGCAUUCGAUACUGCCGUGCUAGAGUGCUGGAGAGGAGAUUGGAAUUUACGGUGUAGCAGUGAAAUGCGUAGAGAUCGGAAAGAACACCAACGGCGAAAGCACUCUGCUGGGCCGACACUGACACUGAGAGACGAAAGCUAGGGGAGCAAAUGGG